rnacentral:misc_RNA from 1 species
UUUAAGGACUUUGUCUUAGUCAGGG